rnacentral:tRNA from 1 species
CAAAUGAGUAAGCAACAACAAAACCUGCUAAGCUUUGUCACUUUGGUUGAAUUCCAAAGCUCAUUUAC